rnacentral:hammerhead_ribozyme from 1 species
AUCCAUCUGAUGAGUCCCAAAUAGGACAAAAUGAGUAUCUUGGAU